rnacentral:rRNA from 1 species
UACGUAGGGGGCAAGCGUUGUCCGGAUUAUUGGCGUAAGAGCGUGUAGGCGGCCAGGUAGGUCUGCUGUGAAACUCGAGCUACCUCGAGCUGUCGCGGAACCAUCUGCUAGAGUCCGGAAGAGGAGAAUGGAAUUCCGGUGUAGCGGUGAAAUGCGCAGAUAUCGGGAGAACACCGUGGCGAAGCGGUCUCUGGACGUACUGACGCUGAGACGCGAAGCGUGGGAGCGAACAGAUAGA